rnacentral:lncRNA from 1 species
GCUUUUCUUCUGUGCUUCCAUUUUCUUUCCCAAUUCCAUCAGUUUUCUCUAUUUUCUGAUUCCCUCAAUUAUUGCUCCGAAAUCAAAACAUAGAAAAAAGGUUUACGAACGCCGGUGUCUGGUGUUGAUAAUCGGUGUUGGCUGAUGGCAAGCAGAAGAUCAGGUGUCAAGGAUAGGGGAAGGGGAAAGGGAAGGGGAAGGGGAAGGGGAAGGGGAAGGGAAAGGGAAGGUGAUACGAGUCACAAAAGCCCAAAUUCUUGAAGGCGAGGCCCAAUAAGUAAAUUCCUAGCCCAAUCAAGAAAUCCAUCCAUACUUAGUUGAAAAUCAGGCCAAAUUGUCAAAGUGGCCCAAGUUGUAAAGUUUUAUUUUUAUUUUUAUUUAUUUAUUUACUUAGUUUAAAUUUUUAUGUCAAUAUUCAGUCCAAGAGUCCCAAAUAAAAUGACCUUUGACCGAAUUUCCAUAUUAAAAUAAUUAGGAGUUUUUUUUAUUUUAGUUUUCUAAUUAGAUUAGGACUAGUUAUAAGGCCUAUUUAAAGGCAUGGCUGUCCACCUUGUUAAACACUUAUCAUUAUUAUUAAAAUUUCAGAUUUGUUGAGAGCAGAAUUUUCUUUGAGUUUUCUCCAAGAUUUUUCUCUUGAGUUUUCUUUAGAAGUUGUUUUAACAAUCUUGUGAUUGUGGGAGCCAUCUUCAACCUUCUUCUUGCCAUUGAUAUUCUUUGGAGGGGAGAUUAGAGCCGUUUGAAGGGAGUUGUGAGAUCUUUCGAGAUUUCAAGGCUUCUUAGGACUUAUCUUUUAAUUUCUUACUGUCAAUUCUUUCUUUAUUUCUACUUGUGCUGAAUCAUUAUCUAAUCUAUUUUCUGUUCUUAUUGUGUUUUCAGCCUUUUUCUAUCUUAAGGAAUCAACCCAAAAAUCCCCAAUUUUUAGGGUUUUUCCAUACUCUUUUUGGGUGAAAUUAGAUUGUCGAAAUUUGGGGAAAACUAUCUUGGUGUUCAAUUGGGCAGAAUCACAAUCUCCUUGAGGGUUUCAAGAACCCUAACACUUAUUUCUAUUCUCAAUUUGAUUCUUUGCUGAUUUGGGGAUUUUAUUUCAGAUCUGAAAAUUCAAAAAUCUAAUCUUUUAAUUUUCUGUUUCGUUUCAGAUCUAAUUGUUUAGGGUUUUCGUAGGAGUUUCUCGUGACUUGGCAACUCGAUCUUGGUCCGCGCGCAACCCCGUAUCAGAAGGGAAGAUUGGUGUCUAAUUUUCCUGAAAAUGUCUUACCGAAUUAGAAACGGUGAGACAUUUUCCAAAAUUAAGGCUUCUUUUUCCCAUGUUUGUAAUUGAUUUUACGUGAAGAAAAU